rnacentral:lncRNA from 1 species
UUUUGUUCACUCCAUACCCAGGGCCUGGAAGAAUGCCUGACCUAGAAGAUACCCAAUGGAUUCUUACGGCAGGAAUGUCCAAUGGGUGUUAGGGGUGAGGCUCAGGGAAUUAAGCACCUUGUGCUGGGUCACAGAGGCUGAAUUCCAGUAGCCAUUCUGCGUUGCAGCCCUUCAUCUAGAUGCUGUUCAUUAAGAGGAGUGCCCCCGCCCCCACCCACCAUGGGGCUGGCUGCUCACCAGCACCAUUAACAGUGUUUGGCACAUGCUGGACUCUCAAGAGGAUUGAGCAUGGUUCCUUCUCAGAAGCGGAUUUCUGAAAGGCCCUGCCCUUCAGGGGCCAUGGAUGGGGCCACCAGUUGCCGGGCAAAGAAAGAGCAGCCAGGAAGCAAGUGACGAAGCCUGCAAGAAGGCCAGGGAGGAACAGGAAGGACCAGCUGAAGAUGUAUUAAUAGCAACACAGGAUAAGGCCCGGCUGUUCCUGUUAGGACCACUUUCUCCAGCCAAAUCCAUGGCUCCUCUCACCUCCUCCAGGCCUUUGCUCACCCCAGCCUCUUCCCUGACUGGGUGCCUCCCAUUGGAACCCUCCCUGGGGAACCCGUCCCACAGUGAUGGAGCGCCUUAUACCCGCU